UAAAGUAUGUAAGGUGUUUAUUUUGAAA
rnacentral:sRNA from 1 species